CUUAGUAGGUAAUUUUUGACAGUUGCAGGAGAGGAGUCAUGGAGGGUGGGGGAUAAAAACCUGCUAACAGUUUAAUUGAUAUGCUUUCUUGAAGAAGUGAGUUUUCAAUGACUUUUUGAAUGAGUGGAGACUGGGUGAAAUUCUUACGGAGGAGGGAAGGGAGUUCCACAGAAGAGGUGCAGCCCCGGAAAAGUCUUGGAGGCGAGCGUUAGAGGUGGGAGUACGGACAGAGAAUAUACGUAGGUCUUUGGCAGAGCGUAGGAGCCUCGACGGGACAUACUUGUGUAUUAGGGAGGAAAGGUAGGUUGGAGCCGCAUUAUGUAGGGAC